rnacentral:rRNA from 1 species
UACGAAGGGGGCUAGCGUUGUUCGGAAUUACUGGGCGUAAAGCGCGUGUAGGCGGGUCCUUAAGUUCAGGGGUGAAAUGCCCAAGGCUCAACCUUGGAACUGCCUUUGAUACUGGCGAGCUAGAGUGUGUCAGAGGAUGGUGGAAUUCCCGGUGUAGCGGUGAAAUGCGUAGAGAAUCGGGAGGAACAUCAGUGGCGAAGGCGGCCAUCUGGGACAACACUGACGCUGAGGCACGAAAGCGUGGGGAGCAAACAGGG